CUCUGUUCCAGCUCAAGGUGUUUUUUUCAAAAGCAAAGGAUGAAAAGAAAGUCACAUAAUAUGGACUCAUCCAAAGGAUACAACCCUGACAAUAUGGAUCUGCUGACAUUAUUCAUAGUCAACCAGAUUGCAUCAAAGAAAGAGCAAACAGACAAAUCCAAAAAUAAACCGUUUGACUGGUGUGAAAAGAACCAAAAAAAACUUUGAAAGAACCCUUAGAGAUACCAAUGAGCCCUUGUGCUCCUUCAAACCUGAACCUAGUUAUCAGUCAGCCACAGUACAGUAUUGAAACGCCUGGUUAUAAAGUCAGAAAACAUCGUCUUUCUGAAGAAUUCAAGUUCAAGCCGCUGUCUCCUGUGCUUGAAUCAAACCUGUCUGAUGUCAGUGGCUCAGAAAAUCAACCGCAACCAUCCUCAACAUCUGCUGGCUCCUCAGAUCCAAUCCAACCAAAACCCACACCACACAUACUGUAUCCUCUUCCCUGCCAACUCUGGGAAAUCCUAACAAUAUGAAAAAAAAAUACUCAGGUUAAUUUUUUUUAAAUCAGCAGCUUUUGCAACACACCUAAUAACUCAAAUUGUCACAGUAUAUGUCUCUUUUCAGAUUGUGUCAUUCUCUCAACCAACAAAGCUGGCUAAUCCAUGGCCAGAUGAAGCUCCCAUGCAAGAUGUGUCACACAACAGCCCAGUGGCUGGAAAUCAGUUUAAGAGCACAGUACCAAAGUGAGUACAAU
rnacentral:lncRNA from 1 species